rnacentral:rRNA from 1 species
GACCGGCGCACGGGUGAGUAACACGUAUCCAACCUGCCGAUGACUCGGGGAUAGCCUUUCGAAAGAAAGAUUAAUACCCGAUGGCAUAGUUCUUCCGCAUGGUAGAACUAUUAAAGAAUUUCGGUCAUCGAUGGGGAUGCGUUCCAUUAGGUUGUUGGCGGGGUAACGGCCCACCAAGCCUUCGAUGGAUAGGGGUUCUGAGAGGAAGGUCCCCCACAUUGGAACUGAGACACGGUCCAAACUCCUACGGGAGGCAGCAUG